UCUCUUUCUCCACAUAGAUGUAUCUAUCUAAAUAUCUAAUACGUUUUGUAUUUUGCAAGGGACCGUACGUACGUGUCUUCCGAUCGUAUGUGUGUUUCCUUUUUCAUGCUCGAGCGUUUGGUUGAUUAUUUUGCCAUUCAUUGUUCCACGUUUUCCCAUUUUCAUGAUUUCAUGCGUGCUAAUUAAAAGGAAACCUUACUCAUACCUAGCGAGGUACCUCUGAUCCUGCAGGACCUUGAAGGCUUGAACCGUCUUUUAGCAAGUACAAAUUGUACAAUUUAUUCUGCUUUUUUCUUUCUAUAGUGAUUUGAAUGUCCGUAUUCUUUCUUCA